AGGAAGCCCAACGCGUCUCGAGCUGAGUGCGCCGCAAAAACGGAGCCAGCUCAACUCAAAGGCCAACUUAGGAACCUGAACUCUGAGCUGUCGCCUGAACAGGGGCUGCCGGUUACAUCCAGCCCCAGGCAGCCAAGCUGACAUCUAGCUGUGCUGGGAACUCCCCAUGCUCGGCUCUCAGCAUGGAGCAUGAGCGCAGAGCUGGUGGAGGGAGGCUGGGACGGCUCAGAGAGACGUGUUCCUGCACUCGAGCUCCCACAACCCCCCUCUGUGUUCCCUUUGUUCCCCUGUUGUGAUGACAUUGCUGGGAGCCCCACUUGUGAGGUGACUGUAGCCUGCCUAGUGACUGGCUAUUUCCCGGAGCCCGUGGACAUCAAGUGGAAUUCUGGCACAGUGACCAAUGGGAUCAAGACCUUCCCAGCCGUGGCACAGAGCAGUGGCAGGGCCUUCACCCUCAUCAGCCAGCUCACCGUCCCUGCCUGGGACCUGGUGCACAACAUCUAUCAGUGCAGUGUGGAGCACACUCCCUCCCAUAAAAAGAUAGAUGUGGAGAUCAUGAAUGUAUGUGAGGCUCUCAUUCAUCCUGAGGUUCACCUCUUAGGCCCCUCCUGUGAGCACAAAGCCUUGGAGAAGCAGCUGGAGGUGGUUUGCCUCCUCCUGAGAUUCAGCCCCAGUGCAGCCAAAGUGGAAUGGCUGGUGAAUGGCGAGAAGGGGAACCUUCCCACCAUGGACUUCUCCAUUUGGAAGGGCACAGAUGGCUCCUACAUGGGCCAGAGCCGAAUGAAUGUCACCAAAGAGAGCUGGGAGAAGGGGGACGUCUACACCUGUAAAGUGACCCACCCAGUGAGGGGAACAGAGCACUUCAUGCACAACACCAGCAAGUGCUUGGCCUGCCUCAGCAACUCAGUGGCUCCAUCCGUCUAUGUCACUGAGCCGUCCUACGAUGACCUGAUUGGGGAGACAGCCCGUGUGAUGUGCCUGGUGCUGGGCUAUGUCUUGAUAGAUGUUCAGGUGGCUUGGGAAGUGAAUGGGAAAGCCAGCUCUGAGGUGGAGACAGGAGCCCCGGAACAAUCCAAUGGGACUCAGAGCAUCACCAGCACCCACAAAAUAACCUUGGAGCAAUGGAAGAGCAGGACCAACUUCACUUGCAAAGUGAGACUUCCUUGUUUUGGAGAAGUCACCCAGGAUAUGCCACUCAUGGAUACGAUGGUCUCUUCCCGUAACCCUUCUGUCUACAUCUCCCCUCCUCACACUGAGGAGCUGGCUCUCCGGGAAUCGGCCACCAUCACCUGCCUGGCCUCCGGCUUCCGGCCCAGAGACAUCUUGGUGACAUGGACCCAGCAAGACCGGCCCGUGCCCCAGGAAGCCUACACCAACAUCGGCCCCGUCCGGGAGGCUGGGAAGGAGGAGCGUUACUUCAUCUACAGCAAGCUCAAUGUCUUGGCAUCUGAAUGGGAACGGGGGGACACGUAUGCCUGCGUGGUGAGGCACGAGGGUCUGCCCAUGACCUUCAUCCACCGGAGCGUGGACAAAGCCUCCGGUAAACCCACCACCGUCAAUGUCUCUGUGAUCUUGUCCGAUACCGACAUCACCUGCUACUGAGGAGCAGAGCCAUGUGGGCUCCUCACGGCAUAUCCGAGAUGGCCAGGGAACCUCGUGGGGUCCAGGAUUCCUCUUAGCCUGUGUGUAAAGCUGUGGGAGCUCUGGUGUACAGAGCGUGGCUGUGUGUGGAAUAUGCCCAAAUAAAAAUGCAGCUUGCUAGA